AGUGAACGCUGGCGGCGUGCCUAAUACAUGCAAGUCGAACGGAGUGGCGCACGGGUGAGUAAUGUAUAGCUAAUCUGCCCUACACUAGAGGACAACAGUUGGAAACGGCUGCUAAUACUCUAUAGUGUAGGAUGAGGCGAUAUUGUAUCAGCUAGUUGGUGAGGUAAUGGCUCACCAAGGCUAUGACGGAUAACUGGUCUGAGAGGAUGAUCAGUCACACUGGAGCUGAGACACGGUCCAGACUCCUACGGGAGGGAGCAGUAGGGGAUAUUGCUCAGUGGGGAAAACCCUGAAGCAGCACCGCCGCGUGGAGGAUGACACUUUUCAGAGCGUAAACUCCUGUUGUUAGGGAGGCGGUACCUAACGAAUAAGCAACGGCUAACUCCGUGCCAGCCGCCGCGGUAAUAC
rnacentral:rRNA from 1 species